GGAGAUGUGGCCGAGCGGUUUAAGGCGCACGCCUGGAAAGCGUGUUGGGGGCAACCCCUCGCAGGUUCGAAUCCUGUCAUCUCCGCCA
rnacentral:tRNA from 3 species